GAGAUGUGGUCAAGCGGUUAGCACGUCGGGCUAGCACGCGGGAGACCCAGGUUCGAUCCCGGCCACCAACA
rnacentral:tRNA from 1 species